GAGCACUGCCAACUUUGAAGCGGCGCGACAUUUUCGACGCCAAAUACUAAACUGCAGUUCAGCGGCCAGCCGCGACGCUUUCCCGUUUGACAGCUACGAGUUCCGGGAAAAAACUUACACCACCCAUUCAAGAAGAGUCAAACAGAUAGCUUUAUUUCUAUUCUUCGUGAUUAAAACUAUAUCUACCUAUUUAAACUACAAUUGAAAAAAACUACCUAACCUAAGCUAAAACUAUUGCCGAACCAAGUGCAGUGAAACAAACGAACGAUAACCAGACAGUGGCACGUAAACAGCUAGUUUUCAGUGAGACCUUUUCGGAUUCAUCCGGCCCAGUGUAGAGCAUAGUACUGUGCUAAACAACAACGUGUUCCAUCCAGCGCUUUCUAGCUCGACUAUUGUUCCGGCUCUUCCAGCCUAGUUCAUAGAACUUAGCCUUCUCAAGCCGCAUCCGAGUAACAGCUCGUGAAUCGUUUCGGCUCAUCCAGCCAAGUUUAUCGAACUUAGCCUUCUCAAGCCGCGUCCGAGUAACAGCUCGUGAAUAGUUCCGGCUCCUCCAGCCAAGUUCCGAGAACUUUGCUCUAUCAAGCCGUGUAACACUAUCAGGUUAGCAAUUCCCGCUGCAUGCAAAAACGGUUCAUGCUAACGCUUUCUUUCAUUAGCAGCCUUGGUCAGCUUUGCCUAGAAUCGUUCCGGUUGUAGGGAAAUCGACUCGAAACACUGAUUUUGUAAGUCAAAUUACUAUAAAACUAAAAUUAUGUCAUCUAACCAAAACUCAAUAAAUUACAGCUUGAAGCUGCUUUGCUAUCAAGACCGGUGUCCUUUUCCCCUCCUCCCCUACAUACAACUCGGAACAUUCUUCAAGAAAAUCAUCAUCCAUCGCGGGAGAUGGCAACUGCGAACGACGAUGCACCAUCUCCAGCGACACCCAAUGAUGGAGUUUCCAACUGCGUGGCGUGUAAUCUCCCUGAUUCGGCAGGGAACAUGGUGCAGUGCGACGUAUGCGAUGAUUGGUACCAUCUAACCUGUGCAGGAGUUACACCAUCCAUUGAGUUCCGCCCUUGGUCCUGUCCAAAAUGCCAGCCAGCGCUCAGCAUUCACAGCAGUGCGACCGCUUCCAGUAAACGUUCCCGAAAGGUUCAGCUACAGCUGGAGCAAUUGGAGGAAAACCGUAACUUAGAGCUUAAGGCUCUACAGAUCCGCUUGGAAGCAAUCGAAGCCCAGAAACGACUGGUCGAUGCGAAGUACAAACUUUUGCAAUCCACCGUCAACGAUGUGGAUGAAACG